GAAGUAGUUUGAGCUAAAUAUAGUUGUAAUUUUAGUUGUUAAGGUUAGGUUGUGGCAAAACCCUACCUGAAAUUAUAUUUAGGGGUGAUAGGCUUUUCAAAAACUAAGAUAUCUUGAUUCCAUUAAAAUGUAUUUAGUACAUUAACACAUUUAUUAAGUGGUUAGGCUUAAUAAUAAUAUAAAUUUUUAUGAAUCUUAUUAUUACGUUAUAAUAAAUAAAUAUAUACAAAUAAUAUUAUGCUUCUAUUAAUUUUAUAUUAAGUAAUUGGAUGUAGUUAAGCUUAAAUAUCUUUAAAUAAUGUUGGUAUUAGUAUAUGUUUAAGGUUUCUUUAAGGAACUCGGCAAAAUGCUCCUCGACUGUUUAUCAAAAACAUAACUAUGUGUACUUAUACAUAGCGUUUUCUGCUCAAUGAUUUAUUAAAUAGCCGCAGUAUACUGACUGUGCAAAGGUAGCAUAAUCAAUUGACUUAUAAUUGAAGUCUGGAAUGAAGGAAAGUAUGGGGAGCGACUGUCUUAUUGAAACACUGAGAAUUUAUUUAUGAAGUGAAAAUCCUUCUUUUAAUAUAAUAGACGAGAAGACCCUAGAAAUUUUUAGUAGUAUAGUGUAUAUUUCUAGAACUUUUUCGCUGGGGCGGCGGAGUAGCAUUUAACCUACUUAUGCGAACUUGCGCCUUGUAUGGCAAUUGAUUAAUUUACUCUAGGGAUAACAGCAUAAUAUUUUAAAGUUUAUGACCUCGAUGUUGGACUAGGACAUAAUAACCUAAAAGGUUUUUUAUAUUGCUCUGUUCGAGCAUAAACUCCUACAUGAUG
rnacentral:rRNA from 1 species